UGUAAAUUAUUUUAUAAAGAAUAUUUGUUUUUGGUACAAAAAGAUUAUUUACAU
rnacentral:tRNA from 1 species